rnacentral:rRNA from 1 species
UACGUAGGUGGCAAGCGUUGUCCGGAAUUAUUGGGCGUAAAGCGCGCGCAGGCGGCCUUUUAAGUCUGAUGUGAAAGCCCACGGCUCAACCGUGGAAGGUCAUUGGAAACUGAAAGGCUUGAGUACAGAAGAGGAAAGCGGAAUUCCACGUGUAGCGGUGAAAUGCGUAGAGAUGUGGAGGAACACCAGUGGCGAAGGCGGCUUCCUGGCCUGUUCUUGACGCUGAGGCGCGAAAGCUAGGGUAGCAAACGGG